rnacentral:rRNA from 1 species
UACAGAGGGUGCAAGCGUUGUUCGGAAUUAUUGGGCGUAAAGCGCGUGUAGGCGGCCAGAAAAGUUGGGUGUGAAAGCCCUCGGCUUAACCGAGGAAGUGCGCCCAAAACUGUUUGGCUUGAGUACCGGAGAGGAUGGUGGAAUUCCCGGUGUAGAGGUGAAAUUCGUAGAGAUCCGGAGGAACACCAGUGGCGAAGGCGACACGCUGGGCCGUACCUGACACUGAUGCGCGACAGCAUGGGGAGCAAACAGG